CCUACGGGUGGCAGCAGUGGGGAAUAUUGGGCAAUGGACGCAAGUCUGACCCAGCAACGCCGCGUGAAGGAAGAAGGCUUUCGGGUUGUAAACUUCUUUUCUCAGGGACGAAGCAAGUGACGGUACCUUAGGAAUAAGCCACGGCUAACUACGUGCCAGCAGCCGCGGUAAUACGUAGGUGGCAAGCGUUAUCCGGAUUUACUGGGUGUAAAGGGGGUGUAGGCGGGAAAGCAAGUCAGAUGUGAAAACCAUAGGCUCAACCUGUGGCCUGCCUUUGAAACUGUUGUUCUUGAGUGCUGGAGAGGCAGCUGGAAUUCCUGGUGUAGCGGUGAAAUGCGUAGAUAUUAGGAGGAACACCAGUGGCGAAGGCGGGUUGCUGGACAGCAACUGACGCUGAGGCGCGAAAGCGUGGGGAGCAAACAGGAUUAGAUACCCCAGUAGUC
rnacentral:rRNA from 1 species